rnacentral:sRNA from 1 species
UAACAUAUUAAAAAAAAUCGUAUCAAAAAUAGUUGACUAAAAAUUAAUUUCAGUAAAUUAAGACCAAAAUCUAGAUAAUAAUUGUCGAAUUAUUGAACAAGAGUCCAGUAAUUCGACAACUAAUAAAUGCUAGCAAAAAAACGCCAGUUUACCCCACAAAUAUUAACAAAAGAAAAAUCCCCAUUAUUAGCCUCUUGGGAUAGGCUAUUCCAAUGUAACGCACCGACACCUGUUAAAUAGAAACUUAAAUCACUUGUUCGAAAUGUGGUAAUCCACCAUCUGUAGAACACUUCUUUGAAACAUGCGUUUCUGUGUCUCCAUAUCAACGUACAAUUCUUCAUAACAAGGACCAGGGCAUCCUUAGGAACGUCUCUAUUGAAAGCAUCAUUAUAGUAUUCAAUUUUAUAUCACAUUCUAACUUAACUAUCUGAAUAAAAAGUAUCUGCUAUUAACGAUUUUUUUGCUGUUUAAGCUGAUGGCCAAUGCUUUGUCUUUUCUGCAUUAGUCCAUAUAUUUAUUACAUGUUGGAACUAAUAAAUAAAUAAAUAACAUUAAAUUGAAUAUCUGCAUUUAAGUUGAACUAUUUUGAAUUUCAAAUGGAAUAUCUGCAUUUCAAAUGGACGUUCUGAAUUUCAAAUAAAAUAUUUGAAUUUCAAUUGGUCUUUUCUACAUUUACAUUUGAAAAUUCUGCGUUAACUUUAAUUCCACUUAGUUGGAAGUGCUUUUCAUUUGUCCAUAAGGAGCUAAUUCUUCAGAUUGACUAUUUAAAAACGAUAACAGUUAAGGAGAUUAUUUUUGAAUUUUUUCCAUGAAUUUUUUAUGUAAAAACUAUUAUUUUGCUUUCGCUUUCAAAUUUUGCUAAUCUGGCAUCUCUAAGGUUACUGUUUUCAGAGAGGAAGUCAGGGAAAAGUUUCUGCUGACAUUGGCCUUCAUAUAUUUUGAUUUUUAAUUUUUUAAAAUGAUAUUGCGGUACUGUGUGUUGCAUUUGGAAACCAUAAAUUGCCUGUUUAGAUGGGAAGAAUGUAUUGUUGAUAUUGUGAAAUAAAAACUUUGCCUUCUCUUGGACAUUGUUGCACACACACAUGCAUACAUAUGAUUGUAACCAUCAGCUUGGUCUCAAAAUAGCUCAUAUCCCCUAAUUCAAAUUCCGGGACCGAAAUUCCAUCACAUAAAUAAAAGAAAAACGAACGUCAGAAGCAAAACACAAAGUGUAUGUGCAAAUUGACAAUAUUUAUUGCAUAAUAAUCUUGAAUGUGUUGUGCAAACAAAUUUGUCGUUUAAUUGACCGGCGAAAAGAGGGGCAAAACAAAACGAAAACAAGAGAAAUAGGCAUAACUAAUUUUAAACUAAUUUUAAACAAAUAUAUAAACAAAACAAGAACACAAGAACUUGAUUUCUUUCCAGAACGUUCAAAGGAGGAACUGAAAGUGGAAAAUGUUAUGUAUGUGAAGAAAAGAAAAGCAAAAGUAUCACGUAUAUCGACCGGCGCAUAAUAUUCGCACAUACAACAACAACA